UCCGGCUUGGCGCCGGCAGUCUCCCUAGAGUCCCCACCAUUACCCGCUGGCAACUAAGAGCAGGGGUUGCGCUCGUUGCGGCACUUAAGCCAACACCUCACGGCACGAGCUGACGACAGCCAUGCAGCACCUGUGCUAGCCCCCGAAGGACACGGGCUUUCACCCGCUUUAACUAGCAUGUCAAACCCAGGUAAGGUUCUUCGCGUUGCAUCGAAUUAAGCCACAUGCUCCGCCGCUUGUGCGGGUCCCCGUCAAUUCCUUUGAGUUUUAACCUUGCGGCCGUACUCCCCAGGCGGUGGGCUUAAUGCGUUAGCGUCGACACCGAGGGGCAAGCCCCCCGACGUCUGGCCCACAUCGUUUAGGGCGUGGACUAC
rnacentral:misc_RNA from 1 species